rnacentral:lncRNA from 1 species
UGAACAGCGAACAGAAAAUUAUGUAUGAUAUAUAUUUUAGAUUUAAAUUAGAUUAUGCAUGUAUUUUUAUGUAUUUUAGAUCAGUUAAUAUUAUAUGUGAUAUAUUGUUUUGACACACGAUCUAAAACUUAAUUUCUGCAAAAUUCUAGAUCCAAAACUCUAGGCUCUAUUUGCAUGAAAAUAUGAAACUAUGACUGGUAUGCCUAUGGAGUCAACUUGAUUCUCAAUUGGAUCGACUCAAGUUGUUGAGAUGAGUUGACUCAUUUUUGUUGGAGUC